rnacentral:rRNA from 1 species
ACUCCUACGGGAGGCAGCAGUGGGGAAUUUUGGACAAUGGGCGAAAGCCUGAUCCAGCAAUGCCGCGUGAGUGAAGAAGGCCUUCGGGUUGUAAAGCUCUUUUGUCAGGGAAGAAACGGUGAAAGCUAAUAUCUUUUGCUAAUGACGGUACCUGAAGAAUAAGCACCGGCUAACUACGUGCCAGCAGCCGCGGUAAUACGUAGGGUGCAAGCGUUAAUCGGACUUACUGGGCGUAAAGCGUGCGCAGGCGGUUUUGUAAGUCUGAUGUGAAAUCCCCGGGCUCAACCUGGGAAUUGCAUUGGAGACUGCAAGGCUAGAAUCUGGCAGAGGGGGGUAGAAUUCCACGUGUAGCAGUGAAAUGCGUAGAUAUGUGGAGGAACACCGAUGGCGAAGGCAGCCCCCUGGGUCAAGAUUGACGCUCAUGCACGAAAGCGUGGGGAGCAAACAGGAUUAGAAACCCGAGUAGUCCCA